AUUGAACGCUGGCGGCAUGCCUUACACAUGCAAGUCGAACGGUAACGGGCCUUCGGGUGCCGACGAGUGGCGGACGGGUGAGUAAUACAUCGGAACGUGCCCGAUCGUGGGGGAUAACGAGGCGAAAGCUUUGCUAAUACCGCAUACGAUCUACGGAUGAAAGCAGGGGACCGCAAGGGCUUGCGCGGACGGAGCGGCCGAUGGCAGAUUAGGUAGUUGGUGGGAUAAAAGCUUACCAAGCCGACGAUCUGUAGCUGGUCUGAGAGGAUGAUCAGCCACACUGGGACUGAGACACGGCCCAGACUCCUACGGGAGGCAGCAGUGUGGAAUUUUGGACAAUGGGCGCAAGCCUGAUCCAGCCAUGCCGCGUGCAGGAUGAAGGCCUUCGGGUUGUAAACUGCUUUUGUACGGAACGAAAAGCCUUCUUUUAAUACAGGGGGGUCAUGACGGUACCGUAAGAAUAAGCACCGGCUAACUACGUG
rnacentral:rRNA from 1 species